UUGUGCAUCUACUGUUCACUUAAUUGAUUGUAGGACGUCUGUCUGAGGCAUCUGACGUCUCGAGAGACAAUCUUUUCCCUUUGCAACUUCGUGUAGAACGUAGAAAUCUCCAAAAUGUAUUUAAAAAAAAAGAAAAUUAAAUCAGCUUCAAAGUUUGAUCUAAAUAUAUAGAUCUAUACUAUAUAAUUCUCGAGUCGGAAUUCGGCAUGCCAAUUUGUUAUCGACUUUAUGGUUAUUUCUUAAUAAAGGGUGGUAAUUAAUUAACAAUCAAUCUUAUCUAUACAAACUAUUAUUUCGAUUAAUUCCCUUACAAAUAUGUCUGCCUCUAUAAAGCAUUAAAAGUUAAAAGUUUAUAAAUAAUCUUUUUCAUUGACAAUGUCUAAAACAGCUUACAUAGUGCUAUCAGCAUCAGUGACUUUUACAGUUGGAGUAAUUUACUAUGUUCACAAAAGUCAAAAAGAAGAUAGAGAACGCCUCAGAGAGGGUGUUAUUAAUGACUUGGCAAGACAGCAGAGAAAAGCUCAAAAUAUUCACCAGCUCUCACUGCAGGCAGAUCUAACUAAGAUUCUUAGGGAUCAACAAGCACAACAGGAUGAGAUCAGUCAACAUUCUAAAUUAAAUGAACAAACUUUAAGAUGAUAAUGAUUUUACUACGUACUAUCCUAGUUACAUUAUUAAUUAGUCAAAAUAUUUGUAAGAUAUAAUAAAAUUAUUACAUUUCUUGCCAUUAUAUGGGAGAAUAAGAAAUAAUGAAAUUAUCAAAUUGCUUCCAAUAAGCAAUAAGGCGGAUUCCAGUAAUUUCAUUUCAUUAGUCUUGCUAUAUUAAAAACAAAAGAAAAAUUGUUGAACAUGUAAAUAUUUUUAAAAUGUGAUACAUGUAUAUUCUUAAUUAUUGUAUUACAUCACCAUUACUAUCUUUUAGUGUUUUUUUUUUGUAGGUUGUAGGCACUAGUUUAUUAACUCUACUAGUUUUUUCCAAAUACAUCAUUGUUCUGCUGCUUGCAAAUAUCGCUGUCAAACAUAUUAUUUAGCAAACAUAAAAUAUCUGCUUGUUUUAGUUUUAAAACCUAAGUAGCAUUUAUUUUAUUUCCUUUUCAAAAACAUACUAAGUUUGAUAGUAAGUAAGAUACCAGUUGUUGUGGAAAUUUGUCACAGAUUUUUUUUUGUUGAGUUCAAUUGGAAACAUAUUAUGAGUGGUACAAAAAAAGAAAUGGCAUAUGGUAUAACAUAAUAAGAUAUAUCCAUGAAACAUUAGGCUCUAGACAUUAGUGCAUAUAAUUUUUUUGCAACAUACUUGUAAAGUAUUUCAUAUAUGUAAAGUAUAAAUAAAACAUUUUAUUACUUACUGACAACUUCUUCAAACAAUGCAGCAACUUCAACAAUCAUUUUUGGAUGAUUUAAAGUUUGUUCAUUAUUUAGUAAUGUAACAGCAUAGAAAUAUCAGAUUUAAUUGGUGGGUACUAAUAAAGAUGCCCUUAUGAAUCCUAGCUACAGACUUGCUAAAAUGUACAUAAAAAUAUUUUCAUCCAGACUUGUUUUGUUGCAGUCAGUACAGAAUGUUUGUUUGUUUGUAAAAAUGUUUUACAUGUUUCGGAUGUUCCUUCAGAGUUGAAGAUAGUUUACUUCCUAGUCCAAACCUCCCUCAGGACGAUGGGGUAUGGGAGCGGGCAGGAUUUGAACCCUCGACCAUCGAUAAAUCCGAACGACAGUCCAGCGCGCAAACCGCACGACCAGGCAGCCAUGUGGAUGGUUUGUGAUUUCAGUAAUUUAUAUGUCUUUAAAGUGUGAAUGACAUAUUGAUGUAUGGUACUAAAAACUGUAUUUUGAAUAAGAAAUUGGUACCUACAAAAAAAAAAAGCAACAUUUCUCUGCAUUAAAAUAAUAUGAUGAAUUCAUAUGUAAUUCCAUUUUAAUUGGGGGUAAAAAUGUUUGUUUUAAUUUCAGAGUUUAUCAAUAUACAUUUAUAGUUGUUUGUUUUAACAUUGUUGCACAGUGUUAAAAAUUAAAUAAAUUUAGGUAAAACGUG